GAUGAACGCUGGCGGCGUGCCUAAUACAUGCAAGUCGAGCGAACGGACGAGAAGCUUGCUUCUCUGAUGUUAGCGGCGGACGGGUGAGUAACACGUGGAUAACCUACCUAUACGACUGGGAUAACUUCGGGAAACCGGAGCUAAUACCGGAUAAUAUUUUGAACCGCAUGGUUCAAAAGUGAAAGACGGUCUUGCUGUCACUUAUAGAUGGAUCCGCGCUGCAUUAGCUAGUUGGUAAGGUAACGGCUUACCAAGGCAACGAUGCAUAGCCGACCUGAGAGGGUGAUCGGACACACUGGAACUGAGACACGGUCCAGACUCCUACGGGAGGCAGCAGUAGGGAAUCUUCCGCAAUGGGCGAAAGCCUGACGGAGCAACGCCGCGUGAGUGAUGAAGGUCUUCGGAUCGUAAAACUCUGUUAUUAGGGAAGAACAUAUGUGUAAGUAACUGUGCACAUCUUGACGGUACCUAAUCAGAAAGCCACGGCUAACUACGUG
rnacentral:rRNA from 1 species